GAUGAACGCUAGCUACAGGCUUAACACAUGCAAGUCGCGGGGCAGCAUGGGGGUUGCUUGCACUCCCCGAUGGCGACCGGCGCACGGGUGAGUAACGCGUAUCCAACCUGCCCUUCACCACGGGAUAACCCGGCGAAAGUCGGACUAAUACCGUAUGUUGUCCAUUGACGGCAUCCGAUUUGGACGAAAGGUUUGGCGGUGAAGGAUGGGGAUGCGUCCGAUUAGCUGGACGGCGGGGUGACGGCCCACCGUGGCGACGAUCGGUAGGGGUUCUGAGAGGAAGGUCCCCCACACUGGAACUGAGACACGGUCCAGACUCGUACGGGAGGCAGCAGUGAGGAAUAUUGGUCAAUGGGCGUAAGCCUGAACCAGCCAAGUAGCGUGCAGGAUGACGGCCCUAUGGGUUGUAAACUGCUUUUAUGCGGGGAUAAAGUGGCCCACGUGUGGGUUUUUGCAGGUACCGCAUGAAUAAGGACCGGCUAAUUCCGUG
rnacentral:rRNA from 1 species